GAUGAAGAACGCAGCGAAAUGCGAUAAGUAAUGUGAAUUGCAGCAUUCAGUGAAUCAUCGAAUCUUUGAACGCACAUUGCGCCCGCCAGUAUUCUGGCGGGCAUGCCUGUUCGAGCGUCAUUUCAACCAUCAAGCCCCCGGCUUGUGUUGGGGACCUGCGGCUGCCGCAGGCCCUGAAAACCAGUGGCGGGCUCGCUAGUCACUCCGAGCGUAGUAAUACAUCUCGCUCAGGGCGUGCUGCGGGUUCCGGCCGUUAAAAAGCCUUAUUUACCCAAGGUUGACCUCGGAUCAGGUAGGAAGACCCGCUGAACUUAAGCAUAUCAAUAAGCGGAGGA
rnacentral:misc_RNA from 1 species